CUGAGUGCAGAGGUGAUCGCCCGGACCCCGGCACAGCAGGGGUGGGGAAGGGACUUAGGAAGGUAUGGUUGGCAGAGGAAGUGGGGCCGAAGACCCUAGGCGCCGAGAGGGAGAGAGCUCCGUCUCAGCCACGGCCACCACGGUGGUCUCAGGAAGAGUGUCAGGGAGGAGACUCCAGCUCUGAGGAUCCAGGCUCUUUGGCGCUUAACGGAGGAGCCUCCCGGAGCUCAGUGGGGGAGCCUACGGUGAUGGUGGCAGCUAUUCCCGGAGCGGCCGCGGUGACAUUGCACCCAGCACCGCAGUAGCUCCUAGCCCGGGCCGCGGGUAGCAGACUCCAUCAGGGGCUGCUUGCCCACACUCUCUAGAGAAGCCGAGGUCUUGGGCUGGGACACUGUGGGGACGCUUGGAGGCCGUUGGUUAUCUAGACCAGAGAUAGUGGGACAGUGUCCGGGAUGGAGUCUCCCAAUCCGCUGUGAGCAGGCGCAGACCCGGGAGGAGGCUGUGGGCCCCCGGGACACCUCUAAUCCCGCGCUGCGCCGGAUCUCCGGGACAAGUUGGCUCUUAGGACAGGACAGCUGCAUGAGGUGUGUUGGAAAGCCGGUGGAUUAGCGUGGGCAAAGGGAGCAGGCGGUGGCAACUCGAAACUUGGGAGUCUGCCCCAACCCUGUUAGGCGCCUCAGCUGCCAAGAAACAAUGUGACAAAAGUUAGCAACUUGUCCGUGUCUCUGUAAUGUGACGUGCGCAGGGCACAGUCCUCCGCCCCUUUGAUGAGUGCACCGGGGUGGGAAACCGUUGACACCGGGCAAGGCGACUCGGUUGGAGUACUGUUAGCUCCGAAUCGGACCGUUGCGCAAGCAACUUUGAGCCCUUGGAGUUUUUUAUUUGCUUGUUUGGUUGUUUUUUUUUUUUUUUAUCUUUUCUACGUGUGAGUGUUUGAGCGUGACCUUGCGGGAGGCAGCGCGGCUGAACUCGAGAUGGGCAUUGAGUUGACCGGUGCCCCCCUCGUGGUACAGUGUUGGGGACACCAUUGUUAUUGGUGUUUUGGCAUCGAGACGCUGAGGCAUGGAAACCAGUCAAGACCCAAGACUCCAGGCCAGGGGAGAUAACUUCAUCUCUUGCUGAAUCGAGUCCCCUGCUCAUCUCCCUGAAC
rnacentral:lncRNA from 1 species